CUUGGUUAGGGUGCACGGUGAACAAGAGGCACAGCUGCUAAUAUUCUCAGGCUCUCAAAGAGGUUUAUCUAUCAAGGAUCAGCCGUGGCAUGAUUCCCACGCACUGGAAUCCAUUUCCCUGGCUUCUGAAUGUGAUCUGUGACUCGGCUUUCGCUGGAUAAAGUGCCAAGCUGCAUUCUAGGAAACACUCAAGAUCAGGAAUCACCAAGCACUGUGUGCCCUUCAGUAUGGCUUCACAUUCUUUUCCCACUAAGGACAUAAAACAAAAACAAGAACCCACACAGGGCAAACUUUGUAAAUUGCAUUAUAAAACCAAUGUCUGCUUUGUGAGCACAUAUGAAUUUUGCUGCCUGUUGGAAUUAAACCACAUAAAUGUUCCUUGCAAAUUUAAUGUCUGAUGUGACUGCACAUUUUAGUUUUCCCGGGAAAGGUGCGAUACAGAACUAUUGUACUGACAUAAUUAUCAUACAACUAACCUUCUACUCUCAAACAUUGGAGUAAAUAUCAAACUACAAGGUUUGUUCUAG
rnacentral:lncRNA from 1 species